CGCGUGGAUAACCUGCCGUAUGCAGGGGGAUAACAGUUGCGAACAGCUGCUAAUACCGCAUAAGCGCACAGUGCUGCAUGGCGCAGUGCGAAAAGAUUUAUCGGCAUACGAUGGAUCCGCGUCCGAUUAGCCAGUUGGCGGGGUAACGGCCCACCAAAGCGACGAUCGGUAGCCGGCCUGAGAGGGCGGACGGCCACAUUGGGACUGAGACACGGCCCAAACUCCUACGGGAGGCAGCAGUGGGGAAUAUUGCACAAUGGGGGGAACCCUGAUGCAGCGACGCCGCGUGAGUGAAGAAGUAUCUCGGUACGUAAAGCUCUAUCAGCAGGAAAGAAAAUGACGGUACCUGACUAAGAAGCCCCGGCUAACUACGUGCCAGCAGCCGCGGUAAUACGUAGGGGGCAAGCGUUAUCCGGAUUUACUGGGUGUAAAGGGAGCGUAGACGGCGCUGCAAGUCCGGAGUGAAAGCCCAUGGCUUAACCAUGGUACUGCUCUGGAAACUGUGGAGCUUGAGUGCGGGAGGGGCAGGCGGAAUUCCUAGUGUAGCGGUGAAAUGCGUAGAUAUUAGGAGGAACACCGGCGGCGAAGGCGGCCUGCUGGACCGUAACUGACGUUGAG
rnacentral:rRNA from 1 species